rnacentral:rRNA from 1 species
GACAGAGGGUGCAAACGUUGUUCGGAAUUACUGGGCGUAAAGCGCGUGUAGGCGGCCCUGCAAGUCGGGUGUGAAAUCCCACGGCUCAACCGUGGAAGUGCACUCGAAACUGCAGGGCUAGAGUCCUGGAGAGGAAGGUGGAAUGCUUGGUGUAGAGGUGAAAUUCGUAGAUAUCGUAAAGGAAGACCAGUGGCGAAGGCGGGUCUCUGGACAGUUCCUGGACGCUGAGGCACGAAGGUCAGGGGAGCAAACGGG